AGUAUUCUGUAUCCUUGCUGCGAUUUCAUCACACACUAGAUCACAAGGGCGAAUGAGAUACUCAAGAUUAGUGAAGCG
rnacentral:pre_miRNA from 1 species